AUACGGAGGGUGCAAGCGUUGUUCGGAUUUAUUGGGCGUAAAGCGAGUGUAGGCGGUUUGACAAGUCGGAUGUGAAAUCCCGAGGCCCAACCUCGGAACUGCAUCCGAAACUGUCAGGCUAGAGUCCCGGAGAGGGUGGCGGAAUUCCCGGUGUAGGGGUGAAAUCCGUAGAUAUCGGGAGGAACACCAGUGGCGAAGGCGGCCACCUGGACGGUGACUGACGCUGAGACUCGAAAGUGUGGGUAGCAAACAGGAUUAGAAACCCUAGUAGUCC
rnacentral:rRNA from 1 species